CUAGCAAUUGCUACAAAUAGGAUCACUGUUAUUUAAGAUAGGUAAUUUCACUGGAAAGUGAAAUCUGUGUGAAAACUUCAACAAGGAUCACAUAAAUCUCUUGCUACAUAGAGAAAUCUGCAGGCUUAGCAAGGGAUGAGCUCUCAGCUAGAAAUAUGAGCACAAAUAUGAAUUGUUGGGGUUCUUUUAAGAAAAUAGAAGGAUAAAUGCUGCUGAGAACUUUGAAGAUUCAGAAUGAAUGUGAAUACCAGCCUGUUCGAUGGACAUUUUCCUCACACUAGCCAGUUGUAAAGCCCUGGAGAAAAUCUGAGCUGCUUUCUGAAAAUUGUCUAUGUCCUGUCACUUCAAGUAAGGAGAUUCUGUUUCAAAGUGCUGGGAUUGGAGCCCACAUCCUCACACAUGCUACCACUCAAGUGUUCUACCACUGAACUACACUCACAGUCCUCCUCUUCUGAUUUUCAUGUAUCAAACUUGGGUCCUUGCGCUUGUGAGGCAGGCAGCGGAACCACUGAGCUAAAUCCCUGGCCCCAUGCCAGAAUUUGCAACUCUGCCAGAAGAGUGCUCCAGACCUACUCAGGCCUGCUUGCCCUAAGAUACAGACAGCUGAAAAUGCCUCAGGUUUAUAUCUUCUUGGAGAAGCUUUUAGCCAAUGAUCAAACUGAUGCUUGAGUACCUGGUUGAGCUUAUCUGAUCAGAAAAACUCAGAAGUACCUUAGACCACAGAGCUUCUCCAUGGGAUCAGGCCAGAGCUGCCCCUAUUGCUUGGUAGUCAUUCUUAGUUCCUGCUUCCUCCACUUCCUUCUAAGAUUUUCCUGGGAGCAUGUCUUUAAAAUUCACUGCACAAAAAUAAAUGCUAAUCUCAGUGUCUCCUGGGAAGUCUGACAUAAUUCUACUCCAAAAAAACUGUUCUAACAUAUUCAGUCCCUUUAAGUUUAUCUUAACUAGAGUUAAGGAGAUUUAAAUAAAUAAAUUGCUCAAGUUUCCAAAUACCAAGGGCAAGAUAAUACUUCACAGGUAUUCGGAAAAUAUUCUAGUAUAUGGUUGCUUUGGCCCUCAAUUUAAAACCUACUACGGAUAUUUAAAAGGGACUGUUGAAGGAGAGAAGGUUGGAAUUUAUCAUUUAUUUUUGUGAUAACUGAG
ensembl:lncRNA